rnacentral:rRNA from 1 species
UACGGGGGGGGGCAAGCGUUGUUCGGAAUUACUGGGCGUAAAGCGUGCGCAGGCGGUGCGCCAAGCUCGAUGUGAAAGCCCCGGGCUUAACCUGGGAAUUGCAUUGAGGACUGGCGUGCUCGAGUGCGGCAGAGGGGGGUGGAAUUCCACGUGUAGCAGUGAAAUGCGUAGAGAUGUGGAGGAACACCGAUGGCGAAGGCAGCCCCCUGGGCCGACACGUGACGGCCU